UGCCAUGGGAACAGCGCGGCCGCCUCAUGGCGGGGACGCGGGCCCUCCUCAGCCCCUGGAUCCGAACGGGGCUGGGAGGGAGCUCUGGGGAUCAUCCAGUCCCACCGGCGGCUGGGAGACUCCACCGCCUCCCGGGCAGCUGUUCAGGUCUCUGCCACCCUCAGUGUAAAGAAGUUCCUGCCCGUGUUGAGCUGUAGUCACGUUUGUUAGCCUUUGCCCCGGGGGAGGGGAACCGAAGUUUCUUCUCAAAGCAUUGUUCCAUUGAGGCCUGAUGAGUUCAGCAUCUGAGCAGGCUGAGAGCAGCACAAGAGAUACACGAGAGAUAACAGCCGUCAUUGGCGAGCCAUCAGCAAACAAUGAACACCUACUCCAGACCUGCCCCUGGCACGGCUGGAGACACCUGGCCUGGGAAAGGCUGAUAAAGAAAUCCCGGGAAAGGCUGAUAAGGAAAUCCCGGGAAAAGCUGAUAAGGAAAUCCCGGGAAAGGCUGAUAAGGAAAUCCCGGGAAAGGCUGAUAAGGAAAUCCGGGAGUGAAGACCUAAUUAACAUCAGAGCUGAAGAAAUCCCUGUCCAGUAGGAAACCAAAUACCAAGAACUGUGCAACUCGGGACCAAUGAACAUUAAACUGAUGGAUUCCUAUGGGUUUUGAAUGUAUAAUGUUUGAGAAAAAUCUAGUAAUUUGAGAAGAAUCAUAGAGCGUGGGCCCCUGCGGCUGAAGGGCAGUGGGGGUGCCCUGGGGGCCGGCAAGAGGAAGAGGAAGGUGAAGGACAAGGCCCAGAUGUGGAGCAGAUCAGGAGCAUCGAGAAGCAGCUGCAGGAGAAACACGUGCUGGACGAGCAGACCUAGCACAGGUGGCCUUCGAGAAGAUGCAGGAGAAGCAGCAAGUGGAGCAGGUCCUGAAGAAAGUGCCCAAAACUCAGGAGCAGCGAGUGGAGGAGUUCAGCAGGCUCUAACUGAGCACUGUGACAUUCUCAAAGUCAGCUGGACUAAAGCACCAGGCUGCUUGUCAGGGCUCUGGAGCUGGAGCUGGUUUGUUUGUGUCAAGCAGGGUUGCCCUGUACAUCUGUCCUCCAUAUUCUCAAAUAUAACUUCUGAGCUUUUAUGACUUUA